CACCUUUGUGACAACAUGAGAAUAUAGAAUGUUACAGUCAACAAGCGCCCUAGAGGUUGUCAAGGAUGACCUUCUCAUUGUAUAAGAGGCUUCUGAGGCCCAGAGAGUUGCAUUUUCCUGGGUCUCUCCACUUGGUGGUGAUGCACAGGGACUGGAAUCAGUCUGCCUUCAGGCUAGCUGAGUCCGCCAAGGCUGGAAUGAACUCUGAAAGACCAGAGUUCUCCAACCUUAUCAUCCAGCUCUGAUCCCAGCUCCGAGGCGGGGCAGGGCAGGGAAGAGAAGGCAAGUGCAGUAGCAGGAUCUUCUGGUCCUGGAAGGAGCAUCCCAGCCCAUUGUGUGAUUCCAUUGGUAGUUCUGCAGAAGGUUCUCCAGAUUUCUCUGAAACAGUGGUCCUCAGCUUCAGCCAGUGGCGAGGGCAGCCCUGUGCCCUGUAGAAUGUUCACCAGCAUCAUGGACCUCACGCAGAAGGUGCAAGUAGCAUGACAAUCAAAAAUAUCUCCACACAUUGUUGUGUGUCUUCUGGGGCAAAAACCACCCCUGAUGGAGAACAACAGUUUUAAAAUCAUGUGUUGUUACUUUCCCAAAGACCCACUGCCCCGGGAGACCAGCAAAGGGCAGCUGUGGCUGUUGUGUUGUGCUCAGUAAAGGAAUAUGCAGAAAUCUGGAAUCCUUUACUGACUCGUGAACCGCAUGUUUGUCAAAGAGGUGUUUGUUAUCAGAAAAGGGUAGCAAUGGAAAGCAGGCUCCUGCUAGCUGCAGGGUGGGAGUCGGGGGUGGAAUUCAGCCACCCGUGGGCAAAUGUGGAGCCAGGAAGGGAUCCAGGAUACAAUGAAGAACGUAAAGACUGAGACACAAGCAGAUCUGGUCACAGGAAGGGGUUAGAAGCCGAAUUCCCAGCCUGAGAUGGGAAUGAAAGCAGAAAUGCAGUUGACUAGACAUUGUGGAGCCUGCACCAGAGAACUAAAGCUCCUUAAAUUCCUCCUGACAGGGAACAGGG